UACGUAGGCAGCGAGCGUUGUUCGGAGUUACUGGGCGUAAAGGGUGUGUAGGCGGUUGUUUAAGUUUGGUGUGAAAUCUCCCGGCUCAACUGGGAGGGUGCGCCGAAUACUGAAUGACUAGAGUGCGGGAGAGGUGAGUGGAAUUCCUGGUGUAGCGGUGAAAUGCGUAGAUAUCAGGAGGAACACCGGUGGUGUAGACGGCUCACUGGACCGUAACUGACGCUGAUGCGCGAAAGCGUGGGGAGCAAACGGG
rnacentral:rRNA from 1 species